rnacentral:rRNA from 1 species
AGAGUUUGAUCCUGGCUCAGGACGAACGCUGGCGGCGUGCCUAAUACAUGCAAGUAGAACGCACAGUUUAUACCGUAGCUUGCUACACCAUAGACUGUGAGUUGCGAACGGGUGAGUAACGCGUAGGUAACCUGCCUGGUAGCGGGGGAUAACUAUUGGAAACGAUAGCUAAUACCGCAUAAAAUCUCUUAUCGCAUGAUAGAAGAUUAAAAGGGGCAACUGCUCCACUACCAGAUGGACCUGCGUUGUAUUAGCUAGUAGGUAGGGUAAUGGCCUACCUAGGCGACGAUACAUAGCCGACCUGAGAGGGUGAUCGGCCACACUGGGACUGAGACACGGCCCAGACUCCUACGGGAGGCAGCAGUAGGGAAUCUUCGGCAAUGGGGGGAACCCUGACCGAGCAACGCCGCGUGAGUGAAGAAGGUUUUCGGAUCGUAAAGCUCUGUUGUUAAGGAAGAACGGGUGUGAGAAUGGAAAGCUCACACAGUGACGGUACUUAACCAGAAAGGGACGGCUAACUACGUGCCAGCAGCCGCGGUAAUACGUAGGUCCCGAGCGUUGUCCGGAUUUAUUGGGCGUAAAGCGAGCGCAGGCGGUUAGAUAAGUCUGAAGUUAAAGGCAGUGGCUCAACCAUUGUACGCUUUGGAAACUGUUUAACUUGAGUGCAGAAGGGGAGAGUGGAAUUCCAUGUGUAGCGGUGAAAUGCGUAGAUAUAUGGAGGAACACCGGUGGCGAAAGCGGCUCUCUGGUCUGUAACUGACGCUGAGGCUCGAAAGCGUGGGGAGCGAACAGGAUUAGAUACCCUGGUAGUCCACGCCGUAAACGAUGAGUGCUAGGUGUUAGGUCCUUUCCGGGACUUAGUGCCGCAGCUAACGCAUUAAGCACUCCGCCUGGGGAGUACGACCGCAAGGUUGAAACUCAAAGGAAUUGACGGGGGCCCGCACAAGCGGUGGAGCAUGUGGUUUAAUUCGAAGCAACGCGAAGAACCUUACCAGGUCUUGACAUCCCUCUGACCGCUCUAGAGAUAGAGUUUCCCUUCGGGGCAGAGGUGACAGGUGGUGCAUGGUUGUCGUCAGCUCGUGUCGUGAGAUGUUGGGUUAAGUCCCGCAACGAGCGCAACCCUUAUUGUUAGUUGCCAUCAUUGAGUUGGGCACUCUAGCGAGACUGCCGGUAAUAAACCGGAGGAAGGUGGGGAUGA